GUCUGAUCACCGAAGUUAAGCAACGUCAAGCAUGGUUAGUACUUAGAUGAGUGACCGAUUGAGAAUACCAGGUGCCGUGA